ACUGAACGCUGGCGGCAUGCUUUACACAUGCAAGUCGAACGGUAACAGGCCGCAAGGUGCUGACGAGUGGCGAACGGGUGAGUAAUGCAUCGGAACGUGCCCAGUCGUGGGGGAUAACGCAGCGAAAGCUGUGCUAAUACCGCAUACGAUCUGCGGAUGAAAGCGGGGGACCGAAAGGCCUCGCGCGAUUGGAGCGGCCGAUGUCAGAAUAGGUAGUUGGUGGGGUAAAGGCUCACCAAGCCAACGAUCUGUAGCUGGUCUGAGAGGACGACCAGCCACACUGGGACUGAGACACGGCCCAGACUCCUACGGGAGGCAGCAGUGGGGAAUUUUGGACAAUGGGCGCAAGCCUGAUCCAGCAAUGCCGCGUGCAGGAAGAAGGCCUUCGGGUUGUAAACUGCUUUUGUACGGAGCGAAAAGGCUCUCUCUACUACAGGGGGCUCAUGACGGUACCGUAAGAAUAAGCACCGGCUAACUACGUGCCAGCAGCCGCAGUAACAC
rnacentral:rRNA from 1 species